rnacentral:rRNA from 1 species
UUAAAUUGAAGAGUUUGAUCAUGGCUCAGAUUGAACGCUGGCGGCAGGCCUAACACAUGCAAGUCGAACGGUAGCACAGAGAGCUUGCUCUCGGGUGACGAGUGGCGGACGGGUGAGUAAUGUCUGGGAAACUGCCUGAUGGAGGGGGAUAACUACUGGAAACGGUGGCUAAUACCGCAUAACGUCGCAAGACCAAAGAGGGGGACCUUCGGGCCUCUUGCCAUCAGAUGUGCCCAGAUGGGAUUAGCUUGUUGGUGAGGUAACGGCUCACCAAGGCGACGAUCCCUAGCUGGUCUGAGAGGAUGACCAGCCACACUGGAACUGAGACACGGUCCAGACUCCUACGGGAGGCAGCAGUGGGGAAUAUUGCACAAUGGGCGCAAGCCUGAUGCAGCCAUGCCGCGUGUAUGAAGAAGGCCUUCGGGUUGUAAAGUACUUUCAGCGGGGAGGAAGGUGUUGUGGUUAAUAACCGCAGCAAUUGACGUUACCCGCAGAAGAAGCACCGGCUAACUCCGUGCCAGCAGCCGCGGUAAUACGGAGGGUGCAAGCGUUAAUCGGAAUUACUGGGCGUAAAGCGCACGCAGGCGGUCUGUCAAGUCGGAUGUGAAAUCCCCGGGCUCAACCUGGGAACUGCAUUCGAAACUGGCAGGCUUGAGUCUUGUAGAGGGGGGUAGAAUUCCAGGUGUAGCGGUGAAAUGCGUAGAGAUCUGGAGGAAUACCGGUGGCGAAGGCGGCCCCCUGGACAAAGACUGACGCUCAGGUGCGAAAGCGUGGGGAGCAAACAGGAUUAGAUACCCUGGUAGUCCACGCCGUAAACGAUGUCUACUUGGAGGUUGUGCCCUUGAGGCGUGGCUUCCGGAGCUAACGCGUUAAGUAGACCGCCUGGGGAGUACGGCCGCAAGGUUAAAACUCAAAUGAAUUGACGGGGGCCCGCACAAGCGGUGGAGCAUGUGGUUUAAUUCGAUGCAACGCGAAGAACCUUACCUGGUCUUGACAUCCACAGAACUUUCCAGAGAUGGACUGGUGCCUUCGGGAACUGUGAGACAGGUGCUGCAUGGCUGUCGUCAGCUCGUGUUGUGAAAUGUUGGGUUAAGUCCCGCAACGAGCGCAACCCUUAUCCUUUGUUGCCAGCGGUUAGGCCGGGAACUCAAAGGAGACUGCCAGUGAUAAACUGGAGGAAGGUGGGGAUGACGUCAAGUCAUCAUGGCCCUUACGACCAGGGCUACACACGUGCUACAAUGGCGCAUACAAAGAGAAGCGACCUCGCGAGAGCAAGCGGACCUCAUAAAGUGCGUCGUAGUCCGGAUUGGAGUCUGCAACUCGACUCCAUGAAGUCGGAAUCGCUAGUAAUCGUGGAUCAGAAUGCCACGGUGAAUACGUUCCCGGGCCUUGUACACACCGCCCGUCACACCAUGGGAGUGGGUUGCAAAAGAAGUAGGUAGCUUAACCUUCGGGAGGGCGCUUACCACUUUGUGAUUCAUGACUGGGGUGAAGUCGUAACAAGGUAACCGUAGGGGAACCUGCGGUUGGAUCACCUCCUUACCUGAAAGAAGC